CCUACGGGUGGCUGCAGUGGGGAAUAUUGCACAAUGGGCGCAAGCCUGAUGCAGCCAUGCCGCGUGUGUGAAGAAGGCCUUCGGGUUGUAAAGCACUUUCAGCGGGGAGGAAGGCGGUGAGGUUAAUAACCUCAUCGAUUGACGUUACCCGCAGAAGAAGCACCGGCUAACUCCGUGCCAGCAGCCACGGUAAUACGGAGGGUGCAAGCGUUAAUCGGAAUUACUGGGCGUAAAGCGCACGCAGGCGGUCUGUCAAGUCGGAUGUGAAAUCCCCGGGCUCAACCUGGGAACUACAUUCGAAACUGGCAGGCUAGAGUCUUGUAGAGGGGGGUAGAAUUCCAGGUGUAGCGGUGAAAUGCGUAGAGAUCUGGAGGAAUACCGGUGGCGAAGGCGGCCCCCUGGACAAAGACUGACGCUCAGGUGCGAAAGCGUGGGGAGCAAACAGGAUUAGAUACCCUUGUAGUC
rnacentral:rRNA from 1 species